rnacentral:rRNA from 1 species
CCCUGCCAUUUGUACACACCGCCCGUCGCUCCUACCGAUUGGGUGUGCUGGUGAAGCGUUUGGAUUGGGAUCAGCGGGGGGCAACCUCUGCUGGUUCUGAGAAGAACGUUAAACCCUCCCACCUAGAG